CUUUGAUAAUCAUCAAUUAAUAUUAUAUAUAUGUUUUGAUAAUAAGUUCAUGAUUGAGAUGAGACAUGCCAAGAGGCACUUCUCUGUAUACUAGUUGCCUGAGUAUUGUUUGCUUUGUUUUUACAUAUUCUCAAGCAUAUGCUAAACUAACCAAAACACUGCUUAUCAUGAUAAGCCUAGCUGUCGCAAUAACACAUUUAGCUAAAUAAUAUCCAAGAACUGGUUCUAUUGGCAAAUUUUCAGCGGAGUUUUUAUUGUAAUUAUUUUAUCUCACAAUAAGCAUCUGCUACAAGACACACACAACCCAUGAGUAGCAUAGGAAACAAGAUAUAACAUUCAACCAGUGAUAGUACACUUCUCUCUUAUUUGAAAAGUUUAGGGAUUUAGUGAAAGAGAUGAAGCUUGUGCGUGUUAAAGUGUUUGAGAACAAUUUUUGUACUUAGUGUUAGAAAGUAAUAUUUACUUGUGGUUUGUGAGUUGUAAUCUGAAAUGAAUAUCAUUGAACUUGUCUUAACUCAAUUAUCUUAGUGGAUAGAUCAAAUGUAACAUAACUUGGCAGAUGCAAUGAUGUUUUCACUGAGGCCUGAGUGUCCGCUCUAAGUUGCUUCACAUUGAGUAGGGUACUGGUGCUCCCCCCAAAAAAAAAAGACUACAACUAUUUAGGAGCGAGGCCGGGUUUCUCUCUUAUUUGACGUUGUACAUUGUUUAGCUUAAGUUUUGGUAAGUUGCUAUAUAGGUGCUCUUAGGUCUUGCGAAUUGUCUUGAUUUUGAUGACAAUAUUAGCGAUGCAAUUUAGGAAAGGGAUGUAUAGUAUGGUGCUAUUGUACAUAUGUGAUUUGAAUUUAGUAAGUAUUAGACUUUGGCGUUUUAGUGUGGAGAACUAUCUUGAUCUAGGAAGGGAUCUAGGUAUGUGUGAAGUUAUUGUAUGGUGAAUUGUUUUGAUAUUAAUUUUGGAUGUUGAACGAUACAUAUUAGUAUUGUUAACAUUACUAUUUGCCUUAA